AACGAACGCUGGCGGCAGGCCUAACACAUGCAAGUCGAGCGAACCCUUCGGGGUUAGCGGCGGACGGGUUAGUAACGCGUGGGAACGUGCCCAAAGGUACGGAAUAGCCUCGGGAAACUGAGAGUAAUACCGUAUGUGCCCCUCGGGGGAAAGAUUUAUCGCCUUUGGAUCGGCCCGCGUUGGAUUAGGUAGUUGGUGGGGUAAUGGCCUACCAAGCCGACGAUCCAUAGCUGGUUUGAGAGGAUGAUCAGCAACACUGGGACUGAGACACGGCCCAGACUCCUACGGGAGGCAGCAGUGGGGAAUCUUAGACAAUGGGGGAAACCCUGAUCUAGCCAUGCCGCGUGGACGAUGAAGGCCUUAGGGUUGUAAAGUCCUUUCAGCUGGGAAGAUAAUGACGGUACCAGCAGAAGAAGCCCGGCUAACUCCGUG
rnacentral:rRNA from 1 species